GUGGCUCAGUGGAUAGAGCGUCGGCCUCCAGACUGAAGGGUCCCGGGUUCGAUUCCCGGC
rfam:Myotis davidii contig99160, whole genome shotgun sequence.